UACGUAGGGUGCGAGCGUUGUCCGGAAUUAUUGGGCGUAAAGGGCUCGUAGGCGGUUUGUCGCGUCGGGAGUGAAAACCUCGGGCUUAACUCGGGGCUUGCUUUCGAUACGGGCAGACUGGAGGUAUGCAGGGGAGAACGGAAUUCCUGGUGUAGCGGUGAAAUGCGCAGAUAUCAGGAGGAACACCGGUGGCGAAGGCGGUUCUCUGGGCAUUACCUGACGCUGAGGAGCGAAAGAGUGGGGAGCGAACAGG
rnacentral:rRNA from 1 species